UCUCCCACCUGUGUUGCUGACGGUGACGUCGUCGGGGGCGUGCGGUGCCCCCUCCCAGAGGCUCAGGUCGCGCGGGUAGCCGGGGUCCGGGCGCGCUGCCGCCUCGUCGUACCGCCAGUACCGCCUGCCCCGGAUCAGCCUGCUAGCCCCGGCGCCCAGCCUCUCUGACCACAGAAGCCUCUUCCUUGGGGACACAGCCCAGGCGCCAGGACCGAGCUUAUCCACACUCCCAGCUGCUGGCCAAACCCCAGCGCCUCAUUGAUUCCUGAGCCAGUGAGAGGCCAAGGAGGGACAGAGACAGCAAGAAAGGCAAGCAGCCCCGCCUGGAGGCCACUAGGCGAGAAUCUAAGGAUGAAAUGAGGGCUUCCCUGGUGGCGCAGUGGUUGAGAAUCUGCCUGCUAAUGCAGGGGACACGGGUUCGAGCCCUGGUCUGGGAGGA